rnacentral:lncRNA from 1 species
AGGACCUCAGCUUCAUGGGUUUACUGACACUCUGCUCAGAAGCCUUUCUACCACUUCAUCAUCUCCGAGAGACAGCAUGGCCGCAGUGUCUCCCAGCUGCCAUCUCCCUUCCCGCAUGGCUUCUCCAGACUACUGAAAGCAUGCCCGAGAGUCAGGGUGGCAGCCCAGGGGACACUUGUUCAAAUUCUAUAUCUAUGUUCAAAUUCUAUCCCUCUUUCUUUCUUGCUGUGUGAUCUUGAAUGACCUCUUCGUGGUGUCUCCAUUUCUACAUUGAUGAAAAGCAGGGUCUAGAAUACAGGAAAGAUGAACGGCUUGCUCCGGAACAUCACCUGCCAGCCUGGUUCUGGAACAGCUCUGUACCUGCCAGAUCUGAAUGCAAAGUGAUACCACAUCCUCAGGGUGCCCAGGGCUAGGCACACUUUGUAGCUGAGCUGGGCAUCAGUCAGGAAGUCCUGCAGAGCAGAACCAGGCUCCAUCUCCUACCCAGGGUGAUGCUGUUGCUAGGUGACCUGAGCAGAGUGGCUGUAGCACUAGGGACCAUGAUCCUGUCCCAUCUGCCUCCACCCCCAGAAAGUCCUUGCUUGGAGAUGGCAGAGGGUCUGGCAUGCAGUGUGUCACCUCACUGCACACAAAUCGCAUGGCUGAGCCAGUCAGAAGAGUACCCAGAAUGUCACGCCCCGGGGGGGGGUGGCAUGUGACUAUUUACAAGGGUUCUCGUGGUGAAACCAUCCCAGGUUGAAAUAUUGGAAGGAAUGCAGCCAUUGCGGGAAGCCCUGGACCGUCCCUCUUUAUGGUCUGUCUGAAGAGACUAGACUGGCACACAGAGCCAAUGACAUGAUCCUUGUGAGCUGAGACCUGCAAACAACCUUGGUGUCUGUCAACUGAAGAUUGCAAAAUGACAACGUGAUGCCGUACAGCUGGAAUACUCCUCAGCCAUUACAGAGGAAAAAAAAAUGACAUCCUGUCAUCAGAAAGCAGCACAGGUGGAGGUGGAUCCCGUGUUAGAUGGAGUAAGUCAGGCCCAGAGAGAGACACAUCAUGUGGCCUCACUCAUGUGUGCAAGGUCAAGGACGUUGAUCUCCCAGAAGCUGGGGAUAAAACUGUGACCACCAAAGAUGAAAGAGCAAGGAGAGGUGGAGACACACAGCUUGUUUGGAGGGGUGAUUCCAGGCCUUACUAAUCUCCAUGUAUGUUCAGUCUCCAUGUGUGUGUACAUCAGCUAAAAAUAUAAUCCCAGCUCUGAUGGUAGCACACAUGUAAUCCCAGCUCUGAUGGUAGCACACAGGUAACCCCAGCUCUGAUGGUAGCACACAUGUGCCACUCAUCUCGUCUCAAAGCACAAAGUAAAAAAAAAAAACAUCUUCAAUCAAGCUCUGAUCAUUUGAGGGUCAUCUUCUCCAAGCCACAGCAAGCAGAAGGGACACUAUUGGAGUAGACUCUGAGCCCCUCCCCCAAUGACUUCUGGUCCUACAUGCUACCCUAGGGAAGGAGAGUGAGUGUCCCCAGCCCCCAGAAAGAAGUGACUGACAACCCAAAACCCAGGACAAGCAAAAGAGAGGAACAUAGGUUUGGUCCCCCGCCCACUCACCCAACAGUACUGAGAUUUCCAUCCAAGGAUCCCAGGCAGUUGGAAACCAACAUUAUAUCAGGACACUGUCAUCUGAACCCCUCUUCUGGAAUACCGAGGCUCACACUGCUAUGUACAAUCUGUGGAGGAGCCACACCUCUAAUAGCAUGUGAGUAACCAGAGAGGUCAGGGCCUGGGACCCAGAAAAUCGAGACUCCAGUUACCCUAUGCAAGGACUCCAGGGCAAAGAGGAGCUUCCUGAAUCCACAACAGACUCUUAAGUGCUGCUUCUGUGCCCUCGAAGGACUUGAGGCCACGGUGGCAGCUGGAUCCAGUGCUCAGGAGGGUGGAUGCUGGGGGUUCCCCAGGAUGCCUGGGCCUCCCCACUAAGCAGAUGAAUAGAAACACAGGUAUGGAGCUCUGUGCCCUGCAGGGCCUGACCCCCCCCCCCCAUACACACACACACACACACUGUCCUCACUGCCAUCUUUACCUGAAGCGCUCAGCCAGGCGCAGAGCUAUAGUCAUGAGAUAUCAGGUGACUGCAGUGCUUUGCAAACAUGGACUGUGCUCUAUGAGGAAAGUCUGUCAGGACACCACUGGAUCACUACUCCACUGGCCACUGGGAGGGAUACCUGUGUUUGGCUCACACUCUGUGGAUAUGGUUCCUUAAGGCAGGGCAGCAUCUUCGUGAGGAAGCUAAGAGACGAAUGCUGGCCCUCACUUUCCCCUUUGUAUGUCCUGUACUGAAGAUUUGUUUUCUUUAAAAAAAAAAAAAACAGUUAUGUUAUGUAUGUUUUUCCUUUAAUCCCAGGUGCUGCUUCAGACUGUUCACAGACACUAACUGAUUUGUCCUGUGCUCCAGGAGGGGUGUGAUUCUGCCAGCUAAAGAUAGUUUACAUGUUGGAAUUCUGAAGACUCUCCAGAGGGUAUAAUGCCAGAGCUGAGAGACUGAGGGGGCUGCUGCUGCUGCUGCUGCUGCUGCUGCUGCUGCUGCUGCUGCCUCUGCUGGUGGUGGUGGUGAUGGUGGUUCCUGCUUCUGUGUUUGCUGUUUGCCGGAUUGCGUGUGUUGUUGCUGGUUGCAGGAAUCUGAUGCAGGAAGUAGUCAAUUGUAUGACUACAGAGUUCAGCCCUGGACCACAGCCCUUGGGCUGCUGCUCUCUACCUUCUGGGUGUGCUUCCCAGUUAACCCAAUCUAGAAACUUCCUCGAAGACAUACCCAGAGGCUUGUGGCUCUGACGAAUCUAGAUCCCGACAAAUUGAGGAUUUAUAGUGACAUCCCAAUCACUACAUAGUUCAGGCCUCCAGCUGUCUGUCCUGCCUCUGCUGUCUGUCCUGCCUCUGCUGUCUGUCCUGCCUCUGCUGUCUGUCCUGCCUCCAGCUGUCUGUCCUGCCUCUGCUGUCUGUCCUGCCUCUGCUGUCUGUCCUGCCUCUGCUGUCUGACCUGCCUCUGCUGUCUGUCCUGCCUCCAGCUGUCUGUCCUGCCUCCAGCUGUCUGUCCUGCCUCCAGCUGCCUGUCCUGCC